CCUGUUGCAAGAGCAAGAACUUGAUCUCCGUAUCGUACAGUCCUGGCUUGUAUACUCAGAUAGGACACAACAUCCGUCGUCAACCCAACCAGCUGAGGGUCUCCAGCUGAGUUGAGUUGAAGUAGGCUGUUGAAAGAAAUACAGUGUGGAACAGAACCUUGCAGCUCCAUGAGGCGCACCGCCCAGCAGCCCGUCUAUUUAACUCCAGCCUAGUCACAGGACAACUUAUAAUGUCCAAUUAAUCUAAUAGCAGGAAUUUGCUGGUGUCAGCUCUGCAUUUUUGUCAACAUUCCAACUUUUCAAACCCCAUUUCAGUGGCCGUGCAUAUGCUCUAAGCACUCCCACCAACAAAUCUUCUCAAGUGGAAC